GGGCCACUGGCGGGUGGGCAGGUUGACUGGGGCGGUCGCCUCCCAAAAGGUAACGGAGGCGCUCAAAGGUUCUCGCAGUACGGUCGGAAAUCGUACGUAGGGGGGAAAGGCAAAGGGAGGGCUGAUGGCAAGACAUACAGGUGGAGCAAGGAGGAAGAUCGGACUUAGUGAUCCGGUGGUUCUGCGGGGAAGGGCCAUCGCUCAACGGAUAAAAGCGAACCUGGGGAUAACAGGCUUAUCUCCCCCAAGAGUCCACAUCGACGGGGAGGUUUGGCACCUCGAUGUCGGCUCAUCACAUCCUGGGGCUGUAGUAGGUCCCAAGGGUUGGGCUGUUCGCCCAUUAAAGUGGUACGCGAGCUGGGUUCAGAACGUCGUGA
rnacentral:rRNA from 1 species